UACAGAGGGUGCGAGCGUUAAUCGGAAUUACUGGGCGUAAAGCGUGCGUAGACGGUUAUUUAAGUCGGGUGUGAAAGCCCCGGGCUCAACCUGGGAAUUGCAUUCGAGACUGAAUAGCUAGGGUACGGUAGAGGGAAGUGGAAUUUCCGGUGUAGCGGUGAAAUGCGUAGAUAUCAGGAGGAACACCGGUGGCGAAGGCGGGUCUCUGGGCCGAUACUGACGCUGAGGAGCGAAAGCGUGGGGAGCGAACAGG
rnacentral:rRNA from 1 species